rnacentral:rRNA from 1 species
GAUGAACGCUGGCGGCGUGCUUAACACAUGCAAGUCGAACGGAAAGGCCCCUUUGGGGGUACUCGAGUGGCGAACGGGUGAGUAACACGUGAGUAACCUGCCCUUGACUUCGGGAUAACUUCAGGAAACUGGGGCUAAUACCGGAUAGGAAUCCUUGCUGCAUGGUGGGGGUUGGAAAGCUUCGGCGGUUUUGGAUGGACUCGCGGCUUAUCAGCUUGUUGGUGGGGUAGUGGCUUACCAAGGCUUUGACGGGUAGCCGGCCUGAGAGGGCGACCGGCCACAUUGGGACUGAGAUACGGCCCAGACUCCUACGGGAGGCAGCAGUGGGGAAUAUUGCACAAUGGGCGGAAGCCUGAUGCAGCAACGCCGCGUGCGGGAUGACGGCCUUCGGGUUGUAAACCGCGUUCAGCAGGGGCGAAGCUUGUGGUGACGGUACCUGCAGAAGAAGCACCGGCUAACUACGUG